AGAGUUUGAUCCUGGCUCAGGAUAAACGCUGGCGGCGCACAUAAGACAUGCAAGUCGAACGAACUUAAUUGAGAGCUUGCUCUCAAAGCGGUUAGUGGCGGACUGGUGAGUAACACGUAAGCAACCUGCCUAUUAGAGGGGAAUAACAGCGAGAAAUCGUUGCUAAUACCGCAUAUGCUGUGAGUAUCGCAUGAUACAAGCAGGAAAGGAGCAAUCCGCUAAUAGAUGGGCUUGCGUCUGAUUAGUUAGUUGGUGGGGUAACGGCCUACCAAGACGAUGAUCAGUAGCCGGACUGAGAGGUUGAACGGCCACAUUGGGACUGAGAUACGGCCCAGACUCCUACGGGAGGCAGCAGUCGGGAAUAUUGCGCAAUGGAGGAAACUCUGACGCAGUGACGCCGCGUGCAGGAAGAAGGUUUUCGGAUUGUAAACUGCUUUUAACAGGAAAGAAAAAAAUGACGGUACCUGUUGAAUAAGCUCCGGCUAACUACGUGCCAGCAGCCGCGGUAAUACGUAGGGAGCGAGCGUUAUCCGGAUUUAUUGGGUGUAAAGGGUGCGUAGACGGAAAUGCAAGUUAGUUGUGAAAUACCUCGGCUUAACUGAGGAACUGCAACUAAAACUAUAUUUCUUGAGUAUCGGAGGGGUUUGUGGAAUUCCUAGUGUAGCGGUGAAAUGCGUAGAUAUUAGGAAGAACACCGGUGGCGAAGGCGACAAACUGGACGAUAACUGACGUUGAGGCACGAAAGUGUGGGGAGCAAACAGGAUUAGAUACCCUGGUAGUCCACACC
rnacentral:rRNA from 1 species